rnacentral:rRNA from 1 species
GUGCUAUACAUGCAAGUCGAACGCACAGCGAAAGGUGCUUGCACCUUUCAAGUGAGUGGCGAACGGGUGAGUAACACGUGGACAACCUGCCUCAAGGCUGGGGAUAACAUUUGGAAACAGAUGCUAAUACCGAAUAAAACUCAGUGUCGCAUGACACAAAGUUAAAAGGCGCUUUGGCGUCACCUAGAGAUGGAUCCGCGGUGCAUUAGUUAGUUGGUGGGGUAAAGGCCUACCAAGACAAUGAUGCAUAGCCGAGUUGAGAGACUGAUCGGCCACAUUGGGACUGAGACACGGCCCAAACUCCUACGGGAGGCUGCAGUAGGGAAUCUUCCACAAUGGGCGAAAGCCUGAUGGAGCAACGCCGCGUGUGUGAUGAAGGCUUUCGGGUCGUAAAGCACUGUUGUAUGGGAAGAACAGCUAGAAUAGGGAAUGAUUUUAGUUUGACGGUACCAUACCAGAAAGGGACGGCUAAAUACGUGCCAGCAGCCGCGGUAAUACGUAUGUCCCGAGCGUUAUCCGGAUUUAUUGGGCGUAAAGCGAGCGCAGACGGUUGAUUAAGUCUGAUGUGAAAGCCCGGAGCUCAACUCCGGAAUGGCAUUGGAAACUGGUUAACUUGAGUGCAGUAGAGGUAAGUGGAACUCCAUGUGUAGCGGUGGAAUGCGUAGAUAUAUGGAAGAACACCAGUGGCGAAGGCGGCUUACUGGACUGUAACUGACGUUGAGGCUCGAAAGUGUGGGUAGCAAACAGGAUUAGAUACCCUGGUAGUCCACACCGUAAACGAUGAACACUAGGUGUUAGGAGGUUUCCGCCUCUUAGUGCCGAAGCUAACGCAUUAAGUGUUCCGCCUGGGGAGUACGACCGCAAGGUUGAAACUCAAAGGAAUUGACGGGGACCCGCACAAGCGGUGGAGCAUGUGGUUUAAUUCGAAGCAACGCGAAGAACCCUUACCAGUCUUGACAUCC